rnacentral:rRNA from 1 species
GACGAACGCUGGCGGCGCGCCUAACACAUGCAAGUCGAACGAGAGAUGAGGAGCUUGCUCUUCAAAUCGAGUGGCGAACGGGUGAGUAACGCGUGAGGAACCUGCCUCAAAGAGGGGGACAACAGUUGGAAACGACUGCUAAUACCGCAUAAGCCCACGGCUCGGCAUCGAGCAGAGGGAAAAGGAGUGAUCCGCUUUGAGAUGGCCUCGCGUCCGAUUAGCUAGUUGGUGAGGUAACGGCCCACCAAGGCGACGAUCGGUAGCCGGACUGAGAGGUUGAACGGCCACAUUGGGACUGAGACACGGCCCAGACUCCUACGGGAGGCAGCAGUGGGGAAUAUUGCACAAUGGGGGAAACCCUGAUGCAGCGACGCCGCGUGGAGGAAGAAGGUCUUCGGAUUGUAAACUCCUGUUGUUGAGGAAGAUAAUGACGGUAC